GCUACUCGGAGGAAAGUGGCGAACGGGUGAGUAACACGUGAGCAAUCUACCCUCCAGUGAGGAAUAACCCCGCGAAAGCGGGGCUAAUACCGCAUGAAGAUCUGGAGCAUAUUCUUUCAAAGUUAAAGCCCUUCCCUCCGCUUGAAGAUGAGCUUGCGUCCUAUUACCUUGUUGCUAGGGUAAUGGCCUACCGAGGUUAUGAUGGGUAGCCGGCCUGAGAGGGUGUCCGGCCACACUGGAACUGGGACACGGUCCUGACUCCUACGGGAGGCUCCAGUGGGGAAUUUUGCGCAAUGGGCGAAAGCCUGACGCAGCGACGCCGCGUGGAGGAUGAAGGCUUUCGGGUUGUAAACUCCUGUCAGAGGUGAAGAAAACCCCCCCUAGGGGGGGCUUGACGGUAACCUCCCAGAAAGCCCCGGCUAACUACGUGCCAGCACCCGCGGUAUUACGUAGGGGGCACACGUUGCUCGGAAUUACUGGGCGUAUAGGGUGUGUAGGUGGCUGAACAAAUCGAGGAUGAAAUCCCGGGGCUCAGAUC
rnacentral:rRNA from 1 species